rnacentral:rRNA from 1 species
CCUACGGGUGGCAGCAGUGAGGAAUAUUGGUCAAUGGACGAGAGUCUGAACCAGCCAAGUCGCGUGAAGGAUGAAUGCACUAUGGGUUGUAAACUUCUUUUAUCUGGGAAUAAAUUGUUCCACGUGUAGCAUUUUGUAUGUACCAUAUGAAUACGGAUCGGCUAACUCCGUGCCAGCAGCCGCGGUAAUAAGGAGGAUGCGAGCGUUAUCCGGAUUUAUUGGGUUUAAAGGGAGCGUAGGAGGAUUGUUAAGUCAGUGGGGAAAGGUAGCGGCUCAACCGUAACAUUGCAGUUGAAACUGGCAGUCUUGAGUACAGUAGAGGUGGGCGGAAUGCGUGGUGUAGCGGUGAAAUGCUUAGAUAUCACGAAGAACUCCGAUUGCGAAGGCAGGUCACUGGACUGCAACUGACACUGAGGCACGAAAGUGUGGGUAUCGAACAGGAUUAGAUACCCUUGUAGUC